UACAGAGGGUGCAAGCGUUGUUCGGAAUUACUGGGCGUAAAGAGCGUGUAGGCUGUUUUGUAAGUUGGACGUGAAAGCCCUCAGCUUAACUGAGGAAUUGCAUCCAAUACUGCAAAACUAGAGUGUCGGAGGGGAUGGCGGAAUUCCCGGUGUAGAGGUGAAAUUCGUAGAUAUCGGGAGGAACACCUGUGGCGAAGGCGGCCAUCUGGAAGACUACUGACGCUGAGACGCGAAAGCGUGGGGAGCAAACAGG
rnacentral:rRNA from 1 species